AUACGGAGGGAGCGAGCGUUAAUCGGAAUUACUGGGCGUAAAGGGUACGUAGGCGGUUUGUUAAGUUGGAUGUGAAAGCCCAGGGCUCAACCUUGGAACUGCAUUCGAUACUGGCAAGCUAGAGUACGAUAGAGGGUGGUAGAAUUUCUUGUGUAGCGGUGAAAUGCGUAGAUAUAAGAAGGAAUACCAGUGGCGAAGGCGGCCACCUGGAUCGAUACUGACGCUGAGGUGCGAAAGCGUGGGGAGCAAACGGGAUUAGAUACCCCAGUAGUCC
rnacentral:rRNA from 1 species